ACAGAGAUGCCCGUCAGCCUCCCAGGGAGGGGCUUCCCACCUUAUGCCUUCUCCCCAGGGCUCUGCCUCUGUGGAGUGGCCACCAGCUCCCCUGAGUGAUGCUCCUCCCUGAGGGGCGGGAACAAGCCUGCCUGAGCCCCACCAUGUGAGUGCCCUGUGCUGGUGUCUCUCACAGGCAGUGUCUCCUGAGCAACGCUCCUCCCUGAGGGGCGGGAACAAGCCUGCCUGAGCCCCACCCUAUGAGUGCCCUGUGCUGGUCUCUCUCACAGGCAGUGUCUCCGGGAGCUAGUGCUGGACAGUCUCCCCGUGCCCCUCCGAGUCCACUGUCACCUGUCUCCCUGCUUUAGGCCCAGGAAGCCACUUACAAGGGCCACAUCAGCGGGCCCCCUUGCUGACUGGCUCCCCGUUGGACUAGCCUGUGGUGAGCCCCCGCAGGGCAUCAGAGGAGGCAAGAGAGAGAGGCCAUGGUCUGGGGAUAUCUGUGCCCCGAGUGCCUGGGGCUCCCGUCCUGGGAGGUCACCUCAGGCUGGCUGUGAGCUCGACCAGAGGUCACUGCUCCUCUCGAGGGGGCCUAUGCCACAUGGCUCUGUCCUUUGGUUCUGGGAACUGCUCCUCCCACUGUGCCUCUGCGGAUCAGGUGGUAAGGACUCGGUGUUCCUACUGCAUUCCUGCACCCGCACCGCCUCAUGUGUUCCUGAUGCCCCUCAGUCCUCUGUAAACCUGCCUUUGUGGUCUCUAAAGCUGCUUGACUCAUCUGGAGUGAGCCACGUGUUUCCAGGGACCCCGACUGUGACAAGCCCUCGGGAGUAUUCUGUUAGACACAUAUUACUCUGCUCCUUGUUAACCCUGGGAAUUGGGCCCAGAGAGGGGAAAUGACCUGCCCACGGUCAGGGCUGCACCGGGGAGUUUGGAACCCCGGAGCCCCACCCUGCCCCACACAGCUGCCACUUUAGGAAGCGAACGGAGGCCAGGAGGUCAGGAAUGACUGAGCAUGGGGAAGGCCAGACACCCUUCCCUUGGUCAGAGAUGAAUGUCAGUGUCUGGCUGGUCUUGGGCCUCGGGACAGGACGUGAGAAAGGCAGUGGGUUUAGGUGUGGGGAGAGCUCUCUCCUGCCCAGCCAGCUCAGGGUAAUGGCUGUUGGCCUGGUGCCCGCCAGGUCCCUCUUGGGGAAGGACCCAUCCAAGGGAGCUGGGACCAGGGCCAGCCUCCCAAGAUCUGGGCUGGAACUCCUCAAGAGUGACCAUUCGGGGGGUAGGCGGAGCCUCUGAGCCCCCGAAAGUCCCAUUUGCAGGGGCAAUGAGGCCUGUGAGAAGCUGGCCUGCGAGCACCCUGCUGCCAGCGGAUCCCUCUGCAGCCUGAAUGUGUGCACUGAAGUGGGCACUCAUGUGCUUGUGGACGAACAGACAAACAAAUGCUGCAGCUCAAACCUCCCUUUCUAAACCCUUCAUUCCAUCCUUCCUUUAAGAGGCUGGGCUGCUGUAACUGUUCCUGCCCAGAAUGUGCUCCCAUCCCCAGCUCUGCCAACUGCUAACAUACCUUCCUUUCAGGAAGUUCUCUCCCAUUGUGAAUCACAGCCUCCCCAUCCCCUUAAAGGUGGUCACCUGACCCAGACCUGGCCAAUCAGAGUGCUCCAUCCUCCUGACCACACGAUUGGUCAACAGGUAUGUAUCUAAACCAGCCAAUCAGAUUCUUCCCAGGCCUUUCCGCUGGAGCUACCAGGGAAGACUUUAUUUGGGGUUCCCAGCUGGCAAGAAAUGAGCCUGGUGACAGCUGUUGUCACUGGGUGGAGGGUGAGGCCAUGCAGGGACAGGAGAGCCCCAGUUCCGUCCUGGGGCCUGGCUCCUGCAGCUCUUCCCCCCACCACCAGGGCACUCCCUGAAAAUUGACAUGGGCCAGGCCAGCGUCACGUGCUGAGGAUUCAAAGAUGACUCAGACACUGAGAGCAAACCAGCAGGAGGAUGAGAAAGGCACCUGCACCAUGGAUAUGCGUCGGGGGGUGACUUCCAGCUGGGGGGUGUUGAUGGAAGGAUCUGGAAGGAUAAACCGUACAGGUUUCUUGUGAAGAUUUAAAGUCAUUAAAAUUAAAAAUCUGUGUUAAAAGACACCAUAAGAAGAUGAAACCAAAAGCUACCGACCAGGAGCAGGUGUCCACAAGCAUAUGACCAACAAAGUGUGAGUAUUUAGAAUAUAUAAAGAAUUCCUACAUAUUCAUAAAGAAAAGGAAAGGAGCAAAGGCUAUGAAUGGGGAGCUUACAGAAGAGAACUGAAGUGGCCAAAAAAACGAAGGAAAAGGUGCUCCGGUGUAUUAGUGAUGGGGAAAUGCAAAUGAAAUCCACAAGGGGGGGCUGUUUCCCACUCAGCGGGUUGGCACUUUGAUUCUGGCAGUACCAAGGUGGGAAGAAUCAGUUGGGAUGCUCACCUACUGUUGAUGAAAAUGUAAAUUUGUGCAGCCAUGGGGAGAGCAAUUUGGGGUAUCUAGGAAAUUGAAGUUGCAAAUGCCUGGUGACCCAGCAAUUCCUGAAGUUCCACUCCUGGGCUUUGCCUUAGAGAAACUCUUCAUCUCGUGCCCAAGAACCUCUCUUCAUAAAUGCAGCAUUGCCUGUAAUACCGGAAAACUGUCAACAACUCAAAUGUCAAUCAUGAGGAAAAUGGAGAAACAAACUAGUAAACGCUAGAAUGCCCCUCAUCAGUAAAAAGCAAUGAACUUGAGGAACGGUAUCGGUGUAAGGGAAGCAAAGCUGUGUGAAUAAAGUUGCAGAAACGUG